rnacentral:tRNA from 1 species
UGGGCGGUGGCACAGUGGAUAGAGCACUAGAUUCUCAACCAUGAGGUCCCAGGUUCAAUCCCUGGCAGCACAU